rnacentral:lncRNA from 1 species
GGAAAUACCAAACCAGGUUUCCCGUUUUCAACUAUGCCAUGAAGCACGGAUCAAGACAUCAUGAGUUCUUUGUCCUCUUGGGAAAUGGAGUCUGUUCCUGUUGCUGGCUUUAUUUGAAAAGGGACGAGCUGGUCUUGAUUGACACCUGAAUGUUGUUCAGGCUUGGGGAGGCCAGAGGUCAAGGCGCCCCCUGGCGGUGGAAACUGCAAGGCUCAGGCCCUAACCUAGGGUUGUAGAAGCUGCGGGUAAGCUGUGUACUUGUAAGAUGCUAUCCUCCUUCAAAGCAAGGUUGUUAACCAGAGGUGAUUCUUAGUGAUGCUGGCUACACCCUGUGCCAGCAUUCUGUGGCACCAUUGGGUGCCAGGAGUCUACCCAAUCCUGUGCUGGCCAAGGCACUGCCCUCCGGGCACUGAU